rnacentral:rRNA from 1 species
GUGAGGAAUAUUGGGCAAUGGACGGAAGUCUGACCCAGCCAUGCCGCGUGAAGGAUGAAGGCGUUCUGCGUUGUAAACUUCUUUUACCAGGGAAGAAACCACCUUUUUCUAAGGGUGUUGACGGUACCUGGGGAAUAAGCACCGGCUAACUCCGUGCCAGCAGCCGCGGUAAUACGGAGGGUGCAAGCGUUAUCCGGAUUUACUGGGUUUAAAGGGUGUGUAGGCGGGCCAUUAAGUCUGGGGUGAAAUCUCCGAGCUCAACUCGGAAACUGCCUUGGAUACUAUUGGCCUUGAAUUAUGUUGAGGUUGGCGGAAUAUAACAUGUAGCGGUGAAAUGCAUAGAUAUGUUAUAGAACACCGAUUGCGAAGGCAGCUAACUAAGCAUAUAUUGACGCUGAGGCACGAAAGCGUGGGGAUCAAACAGGAUUAGAUACCCCUGUAGUCC